CGCGUAGGCGGGGGGGAAAGUCCGCUGUGAAAGCCCGAGGCUCAACCUCGGCGGGUCGGUGGAUACUUCCUCUCUUGAAGGUGCUAGGGGGAGAUGGAAUUACCGGUGUAGCGGUGAAAUGCGUAGAUAUCGGUAGGAACACCAGUGGCGAAGGCGGUCUCCUGGGGCAUUCUUGACGCUGAGGCGCGAAAGCUGGGGGAGCAACG
rnacentral:rRNA from 1 species